UUCAAUUUUUUGUAGCAUUUUGAAAUUUUAUAGCAAAGCCACGUGCAAAUAAACCGGGAUUACCAACGGUUAUUUUGGCUUUUUAGCAUGCAAAAAUUGUGGAAUACAACUACUGGCGAAGCCGUGGAUUGUCUUGAGCUAAAGAUUGCCGAAAAUCAGGCAAAAAUCUAUCGAUCCCCUGCGAGUGUUUGCUAAAUUGAAAACGCAUGUCAUCAAUCAACGAUGCCGAACAAUAUUAUGCUCGUUUUCUCGUUAAUUUCAAAAGAAACAACGGUUGGAUUUGAAAAGCCUUAAAUCCGAAGUGGAAUAAGGUUUUACUAAUUUCCAGGUCGUUUUGAGAUUGGCCUUGUGCAUGCUCAUGGCAGACUCUGAUUCAUGGCACGCAGACACAGACAUUCCUCAAUCAUCAAGGCGCAGAUCUGUACGAACCAAUCAUCUUCGAUCGCCUUACAGAAGUUCUGCUCUGAGAAGAUCCAUGCUUGAUAAUGACACUGUGGACAAGGUCCAGGAUUUAACGACAUCGUUAAGAGCAACGGCUGAAGUGCUGACAACUGCGGAUCGGAUGCUCGAACAUUAUCGGAACAUUAACACAGAUCAAGAUGAAGAGAUUAGAAAAUUACGAUCUGAGCUUGACAACACAUCCGAGCUGGUGCAGAGGCGACGAAGGCAACAACAGGAUAAAACAAAGCCUCAGGUAAGAUUUGCUGACCAGAGCAACCCUGAGACAAACGCGGAUGUUCAUGAUUCUUUGAAAAAGUUAGAAGGUGAACAACGAAGAUUGGCCAAAGAACUUGAGAGAGACAGGGAGGAACGUGAAAGGUCAGGCAGCGAGAGUCGCCGAGCGGUGAGAAGACUAGAAGACUCUUUUCAAAGGGUGGAAGAUGAUUUACGAGGUUCAUGGUCUGAACGAGAGCGAGCUCGGAAAGCUCGUGAUGAAGCGGAAAGGAGACAAAGAGUGGAGGAACUCGCUAGGCAGGAUGCAGAAGCUGAAAGAGAGUUGUUAUCUGAAAGCGUGAGACUAACUUUGGAAAAAGAGCGAGAAAUCCAAGAUCUUCGGGAUAAGCUACGCGACAGUCAAAAGAAGGCGAAAGAUGAAGAACUUGAAUCAAAAGUGAGACAAGUUUACGACCAGGAGCGUUUAUCAAAUAAGGAGAAAAAAGAGGCUGGAAAGCUUCUCGAUGAAUUGAAAAGUGUCAAGAACUUGAUGAAUGAAAGUGCAAAUGAGAAGAAAAUAAAAAGACAAAUGAAAAAGAUAAAAAGCGAAGACGAAGAAAGGGAAAGACGUCUGACGAAGAAGGUGGAAGACCUCAAUGAUAAACUGGACGAUUGUGAACGCGAGAAGAAAAAGCUCGAAGAAGACUUAUCCAGUGCCGCGAAGAGACUGGAAUGGACCGAGGGUGGACGAGGUACCAUGUUAAAGCAGAUUGAAGAUUUAAAUGAAGAGAUUAAGAUUAGCGGCCAGGAGAAAUCCACGAUCAUAGCGAGCCUGCGAGAUUGCAAGGCGAAAUUGGAAGAGAGCGAAUUACUCCGUGAACGGUUGACGAACCGCAUGGAUACUUUAUUUAAGAAAAUUGAAAGCGAGGAGCAAGAAAGGGACUCGCUACUGGAACAAAUUGAUCGAUUGAAUGACAAGUUGCGGGAGAGAAAUCGCGAGCUCGCUGAGAAGACGGAAAGUGCAAAAGAACAGGAGAAAAUUGCCAAAGAAAACGAAGACAAGAAAGAAGAUUUGAAAACCAGAGCUUUGGAAAUGAUCAAAGAGUAUAAAAUAAAGUGGAAGAAAAGUGAGAAAGAAUUAGAAAGACACAAGAAGGAAUCCGAGUCCACUAAGGAAGAGCUUAGAAAACUUAAGAAAUAUCAAGAUGAAGGAACGACUAAAUCGCAUGCUUUGGAGAGAGACCUGAAGAAUACUCAAGACGACCGGGAAAGACUUCAGACGGAGUUGGAAAGAAGAUCAAAAGAGACCGAGACUGAAACUUUGACCUUGAAAAAACGUUUGAACACCAUCUUAGAUGAGAAUUUGAAAUUACAAGAGACACUCUCUUCCUGUCAAGAGGAAUGUAAACUAUUGAGGGAGCGACAGCAGAAGCUAGAGAGAUUGGAGGACGCCACUUCUCAUUCCAAUGAGGAAUUGAAGGAAGGAAUUCGUGACAUCGCUGGCAAGAAAUCUCGCCUGGAAAUAAAACUGAAAGAAGAGCAAACCUUAAGAGAGAAACUGGAGAAUGCUCUUGACGAAGCCAAAGAAGAUCAAGCGAAAUGCAAAGAUGAAGUUGCAUCAUUGUAUCGUCAAUUACAGCGCGAGAGGGAGGAAUGCAAUCUUGCAGUGAAAGAUGCGGAGGAAAAAAUGGUCAAAAGUCGAGCUGAAGGGGUUGAUGAACUUCAAGAAAGUCAAAAAAAUCUGCAAAAAGAAAAAGAAAAGUUCGAAGAGAAAUUAGCAGAUAUAAAGUUGCAGCUCGUGGACGAGAAGUCCACUGUUAAGGCGUUACGUAAACAACAGGAAAAAGACACCACUGAAAUUGAAAAUAUGAGAACCCAGAUUAACAGACUUACAGAAGAGAAAACUCGCUUGAAGCAGAAAUACGACGAAUUUCAGCACGAGAUUAAGACAAAGGACGAGUUGAGAGAACAAGAUCAAACGAGGAUCAACGAGCUGGAAACUGAGGUCCGAAGAUGUCACCACUCUUUGAAUCGCGCCACAGACGAACAAAAGAAUGCCUUCAAGAGAGCCGAUGAAGACAAAGCACAUUAUAUCGUCGAACUUGAAAAGCAAAAUGCAACUUUGAAGGACAUUUCACGUCAAAAUAAAGAUCUUGAAGACAAAGCGCGGGAAAACCAGGACAGAAUAGCCGCUCUUCAAAGGAGGAUUUCAAAGCUCACCAAAAGUCUAGACGAGGCAACUGAAGCAUUACAAAACAGUAUGGUGGCCCUGAUUGAUAAUCAAAAACUACUUGAUGAAUUGUAUAAUUUCAGGGGUGAUCAGGAAGAGCGAGAUCGUAUACAUUAUAAAUACGCCAGAUUUCAAGAACAAGUAAAGCUGUUAACGCGGGAGUUGAACGAUGCUAAAACAACAGCCGAAGAACGGAAAAAAGACACUAAAGACGCCAGUAAUCUAUCGGCCAGACUCUUAGAGAGUCUAAACCAGAUUUCAACACCACAUCUAACAGGAAAAAGAAUGCAGAAUGAGAAGACUCCAUUUUUAUCGAGAGGUAACUCAAAGUCGAGAGAGGCUUUCGGAUCAUUAGAUAAUAUCACGUCGUCCUCCGGCGAUGAUGUGUCAGACUUAAAGGAUGAUCAUAAUUUCAAGACUCCGGAAAUGUCGUCCGUCAAAGAUGGUCGAUAUAAGCGAAGGUCGAUCCGUAAUUCUACGCGUAAUGCUCCUGAAAGAGACUAAGUGCUCUGAGUCCUGAGGAGUCCUUAUCUGAUGGUCGCCGUGAGUUGAGUGAAAUUAUUACUCCAUGUAUAUAAACAAUGUACAGAUGUUAAUAGAAUAAGAUUGCAUGUUAUGUGCAUCAGCAUGAAGCCCAAGAGACUUACACGUACACAUCAUAUACCAAUCAUAUACUACCAAGACAGGCAAACACAUCCGUACAAUAAAAUCUUUUACUCUAGCUGCCGAUAUGACAAAGUAAUAACACUGGCCUGUUCUAAAUAUUCGUAUACUUCACUAAACAGGGAUGCAUGUAAAAUACAUCGAUACCGACUAUACUGGGGAUAAGGGGUGAAAUCGCGCAUGCACGCGCAGCUAUAAAAAUCGAGAUCAAGUUCACAUCAAACGUUUUAACGAGAACAUUCGACUAGUAUCGUCCCACAUGAUCAAUCCGGUGACAACAUUUUAGGAUAUACUUCUCUCGUACUGAAUACGCACGGAAACAUAACAGAGGAGAGAUCGAUCUCAAGUGAAAGUAGUGACCUUUAGCUCGGCAUUUACGAUAGACCUCUAUAAUUGCAAACAACAGAACUCAUUUUAAAUUUUCGCAACCAAUGCCAGAUUUCUGAAGCUAGGAAAUCGAGGCAAAUUGUGGCUAAUUGUGAGAUUAAUUAUGCCAAAAAACUGUGCUUUGAAACUUAUCGUUAGCGGUUGGCAGUAUUGGUUAAAGCCAAUUGAAAGGUCUCUACAGUAUCGGAACAUUGCGCGUUCGUAUCACAAAUGUGUGCAAUCAAAAUUGCGUACGUCUAUACGUAUUAUGCAUACUUAGUUUUACAUCAAAUCAUUUGAUUACUCCAAGAAAGCUAAUGUAUUCAUACUUUUAGCUAUAGCAAUGCUGUCACACAGUAAAAUAAUUGUAUUUAUGUUUUUAAAUGUAUUAUAUCUAUAUAUAUCAAGAUUAUUUAUAAAAAAAUUUCACUAGGUUCAAAGCUCGUAUAUAUUUGGGUACACAGAAGUGCAUAUUUUUUUCAUCAAUAGUUUACUUUUUGUGAGCAUUGCAAUGCCCCGUAUAGGAUUGAUCACACUAGUUCGCAGGUAUCGCUUUUUUCUGCAAAAAAAUACUUGAUCACUCGAAAGGCCUGAUUCUAUAACACUGCUACACCGAGCCUCGAUUUCGAGUUGACAACUUAGAUACAUGCUGUCACAUAUUGCCUGUUGCAAUUUUUAAUUGAAAAUUACCUUUAUUUGUUUGUGUUGAAGCAGUUUUAUUUUAUCAGCUUAUAAAACGGCCCAAUUUGAAAGGUUGUAAACACUGAUUAUGAUCCAUUAGCGAAGACAAAUAUCGCUCGCGUAUAUUUUAUUGCCUUCAACCUGCAGUGUUUCAGAGUUGGAUCAAAUAAUGAAUGUAGAUCUGCAAAAGCACUCUCAACUCCUUCGAGAAACCAUCGCCGUUUGAUAAUUCACCUUUAUCACGCAAUAUGCGGCCUUUGCGUUCAGGAUUGACGAAUUUAGAAAACUAAUACGGUCUUCAAGCUUUACAAAAGGCAAUUAGAUUUUACAAACAUUUACAAGCUAAUUAUGAACAGCAAAUAUAACUUGUAAGCUGUAUAUAUGAGGUAAUUAUAGAAGGCUUUUGAUGUUAACUUAGCAAUAAUUAAAGUUAUGAAUUUUUUUAACAAUUCCCAGUUAGCAUGAUUUAGUAUUUAGAACAUAGAUAAUUUUAUAUAAUGCUGUGAAAAAGUGCAUUGUUUGCUAAUCGUCCGGGUGUUCAAAAAUUAACCCCACCAGCUUAGUCCCCAGGCCUUCUUACACGUGUUUAAGAUUUUAAUGACGUCAUAACCCGUGGUAGUCUGGGUACAAAUUCAACACUGCCUCGCUCCCAAACCCCCUUUGUUUGAAAGAAAAUACGCUCGAAGUCCUAAUAAGCUAAAAUGUGCGAUUCUUUAACAAGAUUGCAUAUUAACUGAGUGCGCUUUCAAACUUCAUUAAAAAAAUCACAAUUUACCUCAAAAAUAUGUUAUGUAUGAACAGCCAUGCAUUUUUUAUUAAAAUGUCACGGGGAAUUAUUAAACAUCAACGCCGUGUUUAUAGCGCAAUUUAACACAUAAGCAAUAACAGUACAAUAAUUAUAACUGGAAAAUUAUUGUUUAUGUAUAAUAUCAUUUUGUGUGCAUUACAGGUUUCAGUGAUUUAUGCAUGUUUUAUUUCAAGCUUUACAACCGAAUGCCAACAAUUAUACAAUAACAAAAAGAACAUUUAUGAUGAUAAAAACCUUUUGUUUUUUUACUUGCAAAGCCGUAUAUUUUCCCAGAUUUUUUUAGGGACAACUCUCACAGAAAAUUACCGAAUAAACACUCUAAUGUUAGGUUUACACUCAUGGCAAUAUUAUAAAGUAUAAACCACAGCGUAUAGGCCGUGGAGCGUGUGUAUAUAGAAAAGUUUGGCUUGCGAGGUUGUAUUACAUAUAAACACCUAAUUUAUUCGAAAUAACUUUUUGUAUAUUUCUGAAGCAACUGUUUAAAGGAUGAAGUAAAGGUGUUUAAAUAUUUUGUGAGUCUGUAUACACAUCCGAAAACUUACCUCAUCAUUUUUCAAUUAGUUAUGUUUUAACAGAAGCACAUUCUAGAAAUAGCUUUGAGUACCCACGAGGAAGAACCAAUGGCAUUGUAGCUCGUUUCAUAAAUCAAAGGAGCUCUUCGUAGCAUAUAAAAACAUCUCCAUCGUUGUCAUUUGAGCACAAGUUCUUUGGAGCCUGAACGAUUCGUAUUAAACUCAUUUAAAAGAAGUCAGAGUUGGUCAACGAGGACGUUUUACAACGAUGAAAUACUUUGCAGUUGCUGUGAUCUUUGGACUGUUUGCCUUAUCGCAAGCAAUGCCAGUGGAGGAAUCUGAGGAGAAAAGAUUCAUUCCCGGAAUAAUCGAUCUUGGUAUUAAUGGGGCCAAGUUUGCAUGCCAAGUCCUUGGGAACAACCCGGAUAAAUUGAUCCAAAAAGCAUGUGGUUGUUUCAAUGCUCUCACAGGAGGUGGUCUUCCUUUCGGGGACGAGAGCGAAGUGCAACAGAAACGAUUCUUUUUGCCAACCCCGAAGCAGAUGAUAGAUAUAAU
rnacentral:misc_RNA from 1 species